CACGUAGGCGGAUCUUUAAGUCAGGGGUGAAAUCCCGGAGCUCAACUCCGGAACUGCCUUUGAUACUGGGGAUCUUGAGUUCGAGAGAGGUGAGUGGAACUGCGAGUGUAGAGGUGAAAUUCGUAGAUAUUCGCAAGAACACCAGUGGCGAAGGCGGCUCACUGGCUCGAUACUGACGCUGAGGUGCGAAAGCGUGGGAGCAAACA
rnacentral:rRNA from 1 species